rnacentral:rRNA from 1 species
UACAGAGGUGGCAAGCGUUGUUCGGAAUUACUGGGCGUAAAGGGCGCGUAGGCGGUCCUGUAAGUCUUGUGUGAAAUCCCUCGGCUUAACUGAGGAACUGCACGAGAUACUGCGAGACUUGAGUUCGGGAGAGGAAAGCGGAAUUCCGGGUGUAGCGGUGAAAUGCGUAGAUAUCCGGAGGAACACCGGUGGCGAAGGCGGCUUCUGGACCGACACUGACGCUGGGGCGCGAAAGCUAGGGGAGCAAACGGG